rnacentral:misc_RNA from 1 species
GAUGAAGAACGCAGCGAAAUGCGAUAAGUAGUGUGAAUUGCAGAAUUCAGUGAAUCAUCGAAUCUUUGAACGCGCAUUGCGCCCCUCGGUAUUCCGUGGGGCAUGCCUGUUCGAGCGUCAUUUAACCCCUCAAGCCUAGCUUGGUAUUGGGUGCUUGUCCCGCCUCUCGCGCGGCGACUCACCUCAAAGUCAUUGGCAGCCCGCAUCUCGCCGGCCGUGAGCGCAGCACAGACGCGCUCUUGGCAACGACGGAUCGGCUCUCCAAAAGCUUAUUUCAACCACUGACCUCGGAUCAGGUAGGGAUACCCGCUGAACUUAAGCAUAUCAAUAAGCGGAGGA